UUGACACGAAAUGUUCCUUUUUCCUUGCCAUUUUCACGUUGUUCUUUGUGUUGCCAUAAUUUUUGUUGUGUCGUAAGUCAGUCAUAUGUGUCAAAAAUUCAAACCAUUUUGACUAGGAUUUUCCUAGCUACAUUUGUGUAGGUGCUUACAACCUUCUGGAAAGCGGCCACUACUUUGACAGAAUCACAGUGAUCAGUGGAGGAAAUUUUUUUACGUGUUGCAACCAGGUAAUCAAAAGUUUGAGAUUGCCAAGGUCGUCAUUCGGCCAACAACAUGUUUUAGAAACCAUUCCGCCACCUGAAUUGCGUUCUUAUCUUGGAUUACUAAAAUUUUGUUAAUUCUGAGAACAGAGACUGGAGACAAUGAGACAUAAAUACUACAAUUGAGUUGCGGUUUGUGAGAUGAUGUUGUA